CCUUCUUGCUUGCUGCUGCUUCUUCGUCUUUCAACAUUCUAAAAUGGAAGCCUGCGAUCCAAGCAAUUAAUUACUCUUUCAGAAAGUCUGUUCUUAAUUAUCAUUAGUUUUGUAUUUCGCAAAGGGAAAGUGGAAAAGAAUUUAUAAGAAAAGACAAGCAACUUUUGCUUUGAUCAUCUCCUUUUUACCUAGCCCAUAGACUUUUCUUUAAAGGGAAAUCAUUUCCUUUUAAUCCAAGCUUUUUCUACAUUUUCUUAUUCCUUUUGGUCAUCCAAUCUGACCUACUCUUAUUAAUUUCGGAGAAGUAGAUAUAAAGUCGGCGACUAAUCUCAAAAAGACUUGGGAGGUGGACUUCGGCUUGUUUUCCUCACGCCGCUGCGGAGUUUCUUUCUUCCUUAUCUCUCGCCAUACCCUUCAAUUGAUAGGCAUUGUCGUCUCCCGUCUUUUCUUGGCAUCUGCGGUGGAUCUGAUUGCGACGAAUCUGCGCGAAUCUGAUCCCCUGUGAGGCGGCGAAUCUGAUUCCCUGUGAGGCGGCGAAUCUGCGUGAAUUCGGAGGAGAUUUAUAGAUUUGGAGGUGGGGUUGAUGGGUGGGCGAAGCUCAAGAGAGGCAAGCCCGCGGAGUAGGUACGGGUCGGCAGGCUCGUUCGGAGACCGGAGCUACUCGCAGGAUCAGUAUUGGGGCCAGAGAUAUCCCUAUGAAGCGCCCGGGUAUCAGAAUUACCCUCCUCCGUCCCAAAGGUAUGGCGAGCCGGUGCAGGCCUACCCGCAGACGCCGCCGCCGCCGCCGCAGACGCCGCCUGCCGGUGGGUCGCGACGGAGGCUGGAUCGGAGGUACUCGAAGAUAACCGACGAUUACAAUUCUGUGGAGCAGGUCACUGAGGCUCUUGCACAAGCUGGUCUGGAGUCUUCAAAUCUGAUUGUUGGUAUUGAUUUCACAAAGAGCAAUGAGUGGACAGGUAAAUUGUCAUUCCAUGGACGAAGCUUGCAUCACAUUGGUGAUAUUCCAAAUCCCUAUGAACAAGCAAUCUCUAUCAUCGGACAAACGUUGUCAGCAUUUGAUGAAGAUAACUUGAUCCCAUGUUAUGGGUUUGGAGAUGCAUCAACACAUGAUCAGGAUGUCUUUAGUUUCUAUCCUGAUGAGAGAUCAUGCAAUGGUUUUACAGAGGCCCUAGCACGAUACAGAGAGCUAGUCCCAUGUCUACGGUUGGCUGGUCCAACCUCAUUUGCUCCUAUUAUUGAAAUGGCUACGACCAUUGUGGAACAGAAUGGUGGACAAUACCACGUUUUACUGAUAAUUGCUGAUGGGCAGGUUACAAGGAGCGUAGAUACUGAAUUUGGACAAUUGAGCUCUCAGGAGCAAAACACUGUUGAUGCGAUUGUAAAAGCUAGUGAAUUUCCAUUGUCUAUUGUUCUAGUCGGAGUUGGAGAUGGCCCUUGGGACAUGAUGAAGGAAUUCGAUGAUAACAUUCCUGCUCGAUCCUUUGAUAAUUUCCAGUUUGUAAAUUUUACGGAGAUAAUGUCAAAGAACAUGCCCCAAACCAGAAAAGAGGCAGCAUUUGCUCUUGCAGCGUUGAUGGAAAUACCUGCACAAUAUAAAGCAACAUUAGAACUGGGAAUCUUAGGUCGUUGUUCAGCUAAGUCUCCGGAGAGGGUUCCUCUUCCCCCACCUAUUGGAGGUUACACUACAUCUUCCUCUGGUUCUAAAACUUUCCAAAAGACCAGUUUCCAGAAGAGAAUACCACCUUAUUCUGGAUAUGAUACUACACCUAGGACAGCUCCUACUGCGCCAAGUGCCUCAACGGACAAUCAGCUUUGCCCUAUUUGUUUUACAAACCCGAAGGACAUGGCUUUUGGUUGUGGGCACCAGACAUGCUGUGAUUGUGGCCAGAGCCUUGAGUUGUGUCCCAUCUGCCGAAGUCAAAUUCAUACUAGAAUAAAGCUUUAUUAGUGUGAUCAGCAUUUACGAGGGGUGCAAUGGAUGUGGUCAGUAUCUAUGGCAAUUUAUGCGGCUGCUGCAGCUUCUAAUGAGCAAUGUUUGAAGCUUCAUGAACACUAUUUGGGGUUCUCGGAUCCAAUUGGCUGUGUUUCAAUUAGUUGAAGUUAUGGUUCAUUGUGUUGGGCUGUCUAUAUUGUAAGAAGAUGCUUUUGUGACAUGUUGGCUGGGAUUCAAUUCUCUAGUUGAUUAAGACAAGGGCAACUCUGAUGAGUUUAGCUGGGUGCUGUAUAGUUGCUAACAAUUCAUUUUCUGUGGAUGUUUUCUUUAAGUUUUGAGAAGGCAUACUUGCUUGAAAGACUCAUCUAGUCAUGCUUCUUCCUGCGCUUACCAUAUUUGCAGAUCAUGGAGGACAUACUGGAACUACAAUGAGCCUUAUCUGACCUAAGCUAGUUCAAGCUGGGAUAUAACGAGUUCGCACUUCAGAUCUCUCCUGGAGGUUUCAGAGCUCGAUCGAGCUCCAUUUCCUAGCCUUCAUCUGUCAUGUGGGUUUGUAGAUGGUUCUGUUGGUAUUUUUCAGUCAUUUUAAAAUCAGUGUCAAUGAGAACAGGUGUUCGAAGAAGAUAUGGAAGUAAUAAAGAUUCAUAUUUCAUUUCAUACAACCUUUUGUAUCACACAUUCAUCAAACCAUUAUUUGAAUAGAUAU